rnacentral:rRNA from 1 species
GAUCCUGGCUCAGGACGAACGCUGGCGGCGCGCCUAACACAUGCAAGUCGAACGGGAACAUACUGUUCACUGAGUGGUAGAGCGAAGCCGAAAGGGAAGUUCUACUGCUGAGAGAACGGUAUGUUUUAGUGGCGGACGGGUGAGUAACACGUGAGCAACCUGCCUUACAGAGGGGGAUAACGUCUGGAAACGGACGCUAAUACCGCAUAAGAUCGUAGGACCGCAUGGUCCAGCGACCAAAGGAG